UCUCUCUUCUCCAACGCAACGGUCGAAACACGGCGGCCGCCGAGAUCCCCGCCGCCUCCACCGGAGAGAGCCGGGGCACGCGCGCCUACCCUAGAGAGGGGUGGGUGUGUUGGGUCCGCAGGAGAGCGGAGUGCGCACCUGCUCGUACGACGGCGCAGCCAUCCCGCGCUCCUGGGCUCCCGCUUCGACGCCGACAAGGUCGCCCAUCUCUUCCCGCAGGAAAUACCAGUAGCCGGGCAGACAGAGAAGAUCACCUGAGUAUACUAUAUUGGACCAUGAACUGAAUGAUGCUAGAAAUGAAUUGGCUUCGAUGCUUGGCAAUAUACUAGUUUUUGCCAAGACUACCCCACUAAACGAAAAAAGUUACGUUGUCCGCUGCCGAAUGAAAUGCUAACAGCAAAAAUGGAAAACUACAGUGGCCACGCCAAGCAUAUAUAACAUUGGGGAGGAAAGCACCCCGCAUCAGGAUCACAUAAAGGAGUUAAAACGAUCAAAAAAGUCAUGUUCCCGAAGUUCACUUCCAGUUUCUUUCUCCAUAAUCUUCUGAUUGAAUUUAUGCAUUGAAGUUGAAUGAGAUGUUGGUUGACACGCACUGUAAGAUCGUGCUAGCUCUAUGUCUGCUAUGAAAUGUGUACUGCUUGGAAAUCUUGCUGCUAGUAUGUAUCCCCUCAAACUAAAUGAAUGAUACUGCUCAGCUUUGACUUCAUGAAUGAGGAAUCUUGGUCAUUGCUCUACAACUGCUGGGGCUUCGUUCUUUUUUGAUGGGACAUUUUCACUGAAUCAAACAUGGUCUUUGCACCAAGGCGUUCGAGAUAAAAUAAUUUAGUCUGGCAAACAGGUGCCGACGAGCUCCAUGUGUGAGUUGUGCCUGCCUAGUGCAAAAUAAGUUUAUUUGCAAAUACUGGAUAUUCAGAUUGGAAUAAAUGUGAUGGUGGAUAUUACUAGUUCCAAGCAUUUUUCUUCCUGAUGUUUUGCUAAUGCAGAUGCAACCUAGUACAGGGAAGUUUACAUUUUGUCAUGUUUUGAGUGAUGGCCAUGGUGCCGAAAAUCCCGCCACAAGCAUCAGAUUGCACUUUUUUGUGUUUAUAUAAAGUUUGUUUCUGAAUAAAUAUGGUUGGAACCCAA